GACGAACGCUGGCGGCGCGCCUAACACAUGCAAGUCGAACGAGCGAGAGAGAGCUUGCUUUCUCGAGCGAGUGGCGAACGGGUGAGUAACGCGUGAGGAACCUGCCUCAAAGAGGGGGACAACAGUUGGAAACGACUGCUAAUACCGCAUAAGCCCACGACCCGGCAUCGGGUUGAGGGAAAAGGAGCAAUCCGCUUUGAGAUGGCCUCGCGUCCGAUUAGCUAGUUGGUGAGGUAACGGCCCACCAAGGCAACGAUCGGUAGCCGGACUGAGAGGUUGAACGGCCACAUUGGGACUGAGACACGGCCCAGACUCCUACGGGAGGCAGCAGUGGGGAAUAUUGCACAAUGGGGGGAAACCCUGAUGCAGCGACGCCGCGUGGAGGAAGAAGGUCUUCGGAUUGUAAACUCCUGUUGUUGAGGAAGAUAAUGACGGUACUCAACAAGGAAGUGACGGCUAACUACGUG
rnacentral:rRNA from 1 species